rnacentral:rRNA from 1 species
AACAGGAUUAGAUACCCUGGUAGUCCACGCCGUAAACGAUGUCGACUUGGAGGCCGUUCCCUUGAGGAGUGGCUUCCGGAGCUAACGCGUUAAGUCGACCGCCUGGGGAGUACGGCCGCAAGGUUAAAACUCAAAUGAAUUGACGGGGGCCCGCACAAGCGGUGGAGCAUGUGGUUUAAUUCGAUGCAACGCGAAGAACCUUACCUACUCUUGACAUCCAGAGAAUUUAGCAGAGAUGCUUUAGUGCCUUCGGGAACUCUGAGACAGGUGCUGCAUGGCUGUCGUCAGCUCGUGUUGUGAAAUGUUGGGUUAAGUCCCGCAACGAGCGCAACCCUUAUCCUUUGUUGCCAGCACGUAAUGGUGGGAACUCAAAGGAGACUGCCGGUGAUAAACCGGAGGAAGGUGGGGAUGACGUCAAGUCAUCAUGGCCCUUACGAGUAGGGCUACACACGUGCUACAAUGGCGCAUACAAAGAGAAGCGACCUCGCGAGAGCAAGCGGACCUCAUAAAGUGCGUCGUAGUCCGGAUUGGAGUCUGCAACUCGACUCCAUGAAGUCGGAAUCGCUAGUAAUCGUAAAUCAGAAUGUUACGGUGAAUACGUUCCCGGGCCUUGUACACACCGCCCGUCACACCAUGGGAGUGGGUUGCAAAGGGAGUAGAUAGCUUAACCUUCGGGAGGGCGUUUACCACUUUGUGAUUCAUGACUGGGGUGAAGUCGUAACAAGGUAACCGUAGGGGAACCUGCGGCUGGAUCACCUCCUU